GACGAACGCUGGCGGCGUGCCUAAUACAUGCAAGUAGGACGCAGUUGCGAACGGGUGAGUAACGCGUAGGUAACUACCUAUUAGAGGGGGAUAACUAUUGGAAACGAUAGCUAAUACCGCAUACUAGUAGAUGGACCUGCGUUGUAUUAGCUAGUAGGUAGGGUAAUGGCCUACCUAGGCAACGAUACAUAGCCGACCCGAGGGGGUGAUCCGCCCACCCGGGACUGAGACAAGGGCCAGACUCCUACGGGAGGGAGCCGGAGGGAAAUUUUGGAAAUGGGGGGAAACCUGACCGAGCAACGCCGCGUGAGUGAAGAAGGUUUUCGGAUCGUAAAGCUCUGUUGUUAAGGAAGCGGUACUUAACCAGAAAGGGACGGCUAACUACGUGCCAGCAGCCGCGGUAAUUC
rnacentral:rRNA from 1 species